rnacentral:rRNA from 1 species
UACGUAGGGUGCUAGCGUUGUCCGGAAUCAUUGGGCGUAAAGGGCGCGUAGGUGGCCACUUCAAGCGUGCGGUGAAAGUCGGGGGCUCAACCCCUGAUCGGCCGUGCGAACUGGGGGGCUGGAGCACUGUAGAGGCAGGCGGAAUUCCGGGUGUAGCGGUGGAAUGCGUAGAGAUCCGGAAGAACACCGGUGGCGAAGGCGGCCUGCUGGGCAGUUUUGCUGACACUGAGGCGCGACAGCGUGGGGAGCAAACAGG